rnacentral:lncRNA from 1 species
ACCUGCUUGGUCACUAUCUCAUCCAUGGGUUCCGAGUGCAACCAGAGCCCAAAGGAGACCUGGACUCUGAGGCCAUGAUAGCAGUGUUUGGGAGCAAGGGCCUCAGAGUUGUGAAAAUAAGCUGGGGUCAAAGCCAUCUCCGAGAGCUCUGGCGCUCUGGCCUGUGGAACAUGUCCGACUGGAUCUGGGAUGCGCGCUGGCUUGAGGGUAACGUAGCC